CCUACGGGUGGCAGCAGUUGGGAAUAUUGGGCAAUGGGCGCAAGCCUGACCCAGCAACGCCGCGUGAAGGAAGAAGGCUUUCUGGUUGUAAACUUCUUUUGUCAGGGAAGAGUAGCCGACGGUACCUGACGCAUAAUCCACGGCUAACUACGUGCCAGCAGCCGCGGUAAUACGUAGGUGGCAAGCGUUGUCAGGAUUUACUGGGUGUAAAGGGCGUGUAGCCGGGUUGACAAGUCAGAUGUGAAAUCCUGCGGCGUAACCGCAGAACUGCAUUUGAAACUGUUGAUCUUGAGUACUGGAGAGGCAGAUGGAAUUCCGAGUGUAGCGGUGAAAUGCGUAGAUAUUAGGAGGAACACCAGUGGCGAAGGCGGUCUGCUGGACAGCAACUGACGGUGAGGCGCGAAAGCGUGGGGAGCAAACAGGAUUAGAUACCCCAGUAGUC
rnacentral:rRNA from 1 species